UGGGGAAUCUUCCGCAAUGGACGAAAGUCUGACGGAGCAACGCCGCGUGAACGAUGACGGCCUUCGGGUUGUAAAGUUCUGUUAUACGGGACGAAUGGUACGACGGUCAAUACCCGUCGUAAGUGACGGUACCGUAAGAGAAAGCCACGGCUAACUACGUGCCAGCAGCCGCGGUAAUACGUAGGUGGCAAGCGUUGUCCGGAAUUAUUGGGCGUAAAGGGCGCGCAGGCGGCGUCGUAAGUCGGUCUUAAAAGUGCGGGGCUUAACCCCGUGAGGGGACCGAAACUGCGAUGCUAGAGUAUCGGAGAGGAAAGCGGAAUUCCUAGUGUAGCGGUGAAAUGCGUAGAUAUUAGGAGGAACACCAGUGGCGAAAGCGGCUUUCUGGACGACAACUGACGCUGAGGCGCGAAAGCCAGGGGAGCAAACGGGAUUAGAUACCCCGGUAGUCCUGGCCGUAAACGAUGAAUGCUAGGUGUUGGAGGGUUUCCGCCCUUCAGUGCCGCAGCUAACGCAUUAAGCAUUCCGCCUGGGGAGUACGACCGCAAGGUUG
rnacentral:rRNA from 1 species